rnacentral:rRNA from 1 species
CGGGACACGUGGUAUCCUGUCUGAAUAUGGGGGGACCAUCCUCCAAGGCUAAAUACUCCUGACUGACCGAUAGUGAACCAGUACCGUGAGGGAAAGGCGAAAAGAACCCCGGCGAGGGGAGUGAAAAAGAACCUGAAACCGUGUACGUACAAGCAGUGGGAGCACGCUUAGGCGUGUGACUGCGUACCUUUUGUAUAAUGGGUCAGCGACUUAUAUUCUGUAGCAAGGUUAACCGAAUAGGGGAGCCGAAGGGAAACCGAGUCUUAACUGGGCGUUAAGUUGCAGGGUAUAGACCCGAAACCCGGUGAUCUAGCCAUGGGCAGGUUGAAGGUUGGGUAACACUAACUGGAGGACCGAACCGACUAAUGUUGAAAAAUUAGCGGAUGACUUGUGGCUGGGGGUGAAAGGCCAAUCAAACCGGGAGAUAGCUGGUUCUCCCCGAAAGCUAUUUAGGUAGCGCCUCGUGAAUUCAUCUCCGGGGGUAGAGCACUGUUUCGGCAAGGGGGUCAUCCCGACUUACCAACCCGAUGCAAACUGCGAAUACCGGAGAAUGUUAUCACGGGAGACACACGGCGGGUGCUAACGUCCGUCGUGAAGAGGGAAACAACCCAGACCGCCAGCUAAGGUCCCAAAGUCAUGGUUAAGUGGGAAACGAUGUGGGAAGGCCCAGACAGCCAGGAUGUUGGCUUAGAAGCAGCCAUCAUUUAAAGAAAGCGUAAUAGCUCACUGGUCGAGUCGGCCUGCGCGGAAGAUGUAACGGGGCUAAACCAUGCACCGAAGCUGCGGCAGCGACGCUGAUGCGUUGUUGGGUAGGGGAGCGUUCUGUAAGCCUGUGAAGGUGUGCUGUGAGGCAUGCUGGAGGUAUCAGAAGUGCGAAUGCUGACAUAAGUAACGAUAAAGCGGGUGAAAAGCCCGCUCGCCGGAAGACCAAGGGUUCCUGUCCAACGUUAAUCGGGGCAGGGUGAGUCGACCCCUAAGGCGAGGCCGAAAGGCGUAGUCGAUGGGAAACAGGUUAAUAUUCCUGUACUUGGUGUUACUGCGAAGGGGGGACGGAGAAGGCUAUGUUGGCCGGGCGACGGUUGUCCCGGUUUAAGCGUGUAGGCUGGUUUUCCAGGCAAAUCCGGAAAAUCAAGGCUGAGGCGUGAUGACGAGGCACUACGGUGCUGAAGCAACAAAUGCCCUGCUUCCAGGAAAAGCCUCUAAGCAUCAGGUAACAUCAAAUCGUACCCCAAACCGACACAGGUGGUCAGGUAGAGAAUACCAAGGCGCUUGAGAGAACUCGGGUGAAGGAACUAGGCAAAAUGGUGCCGUAACUUCGGGAGAAGGCACGCUGAUAUGUAGGUGAAGCGACUUGCUCGUGGAGCUGAAAUCAGUCGAAGAUACCAGCUGGCUGCAACUGUUUAUUAAAAACACAGCACUGUGCAAACACGAAAGUGGACGUAUACGGUGUGACGCCUGCCCGGUGCCGGAAGGUUAAUUGAUGGGGUCAGCGCAAGCGAA